CUCUCCCUCACUCGGCAGCUCAUCUCCAGUCACCGGCUCUCCCUCACUCCGCAGCUCAUCUCCAGAUUUGUGUUGGUUAGUGUGGACUGAGGCUGCUUGUGGUUUUGGGAUUCCAAUUAAAUCCAUUCUUUCUUCACAUAAGAUUUGUGUUGGUUAGUGUGGACUGAGGCUGCUUGUGGUUUUGGGAUUCCAAUUAAAUCCAUUCUUUCUUCGCAUAAGAUCCUAAAACGGAGAUGGAAGACACAAACACAGACACAAACAAAUCUGGUUCUUCCUCGCCAAGUGGUUCUCCCUUGAGAACCGGACGUUGUCCC